UACGGAGGGAGCUAGCGUUAUUCGGAAUUACUGGGCGUAAAGGGUGCGUAGGCGGGUUUUUAAGUCAGGGGUGAAAUCCUGGAGCUCAACUCCAGAACUGCCUUUGAUACUGAAGAUCUUGAGUCCGGGAGAGGUGAGUGGAACUGCGAGUGUAGAGGUGAAAUUCGUAGAUAUUCGCAAGAACACCAGUGGCGAAGGCGGCUCACUGGCCCGGUACUGACGCUGAGGCGCGAAAGCUAGGGGAGCAAACGGG
rnacentral:rRNA from 1 species